rnacentral:tRNA from 1 species
GGGUGGCUCCGCUCGGGUUGGAGCAACGUCCUGAUAAGGCGUCUGGCGGGUUCGAUUCCCGCCUUGGUCA